rnacentral:rRNA from 1 species
AAACCGGUACUAAUACCGGAUACGUUCUUUUCUCGCAUGAGAGAAGAUGGAAAGACGGUUUACGCUGUCACUUAUAGAUGGGCCCGCGGCGCAUUAGCUAGUUGGUGAGGUAAUGGCUCACCAAGGCGACGAUGCGUAGCCGACCUGAGAGGGUGAUCGGCCACACUGGGACUGAGACACGGCCCAGACUCCUACGGGAGGCAGCAGUAGGGAAUCUUCCGCAAUGGACGAAAGUCUGACGGAGCAACGCCGCGUGAACGAAGAAGGCCUUCGGGUCGUAAAGUUCUGUUGUUAGGGAAGAACAAGUACCAGAGUAACUGCUGGUACCUUGACGGUACCUAACCAGAAAGCCACGGCUAACUACGUGCCAGCASCCGCGGUAAUACGUAGGUGGCAAGCGUUGUCCGGAAUUAUUGGGCGUAAAGCGCGCGCAGGUGGUUCUUUAAGUCUGAUGUGAAAGCCCACGGCUCAACCGUGGAGGGUCAUUGGAAACUGGGGAACUUGAGUGCAGAAGAGGAA